ACUGUGGGGACAGCACAGGUCUAGGACUGUGGGGACAGCACAGGUCUAGGACUGUGGGGACAGCACAGGUCUAGGACUGUGGGGACAGCACAGGUCUAGGACUGUGGGGACAGCACAGGUCUAGGACUGUGGGACAGCACAGGUCUAGGACUGUGGGACAGCACAGGUCUAGGACUGUGGGACAGCACAGGUCUAGGACUGUGGGACAGCACAGGUCUAGGACUGUGGGACAGCACAGGUCUAGGACUGGGGGACAGCACAGGUCUAGGACUGGGGGACAGCACAGGUCUAGGACUGUGGGACAGCACAGGUCUAGGACUGGGGGACAGCACAGGUCUAGGACUGGGGGACAGCACAGGUCUAGGACUGGGGGACAGCACAGGUCUAGGACUGGGGGACAGCACAGGUCUAGGACUGUGGGACAGCACAGGUCUAGGACUGUGGGACAGCACAGGUCUAGGACUGUGGGACAGCACAGGUCUAGGACUGUGCAUCCUAUAAACAGGGUUCAUACCAACAUUGGCAAGUUAAAUUCAAGUUAAAUUCAAGGACUUUCGGGGACUUUUUCAAGCAUUUCAUUGUAAUUUUCUUCAAUGUUUUAUAAUGUAUAUAAUUGUACAUACAGGGCCUAAUAUAGAACCCCGCCCCCCAAAAUAAAAACAUGCAAAAAUUGUCCAAUAGAAAGCAACCACUUCAUGAAUAAUUGUGUUUUUAGGCGUUUCCAAUGCAUGGAUAUUCAAAUUAUUAUUACAUUCUAAAAUAUGUGACAACAUUUUUCUGUGGCCUAUGUGGCUAAUGCAGGCACACUUCAUAAAGCCGUGAAUAGUGACCGCAUUUAAACCUCUUAGGAUCCCUAGUGUUCCCUUCCCGCUCAGAUCCCGUUAACGGGAUUGAUUUGACAACAUCCAGGGAAAUUGCAGUGCGCCAAAUUCAAAAACAGAAAUAAGUGUGUUCUACAUCAAAAUAAAGCUUAACUUCUUGUUAAUCCA